rnacentral:rRNA from 1 species
CGCCUGCCCAGUGAACAUUAAACGGCCGCGGUAUCCUAACCGUGCAAAGGUAGCAUAAUCAUUUGUCUACUAAUUAUAGACCUGUAUGAAAGGCAAAAUGAGAGUCUAACUGUCUCUUAUAACAAAUCAAUUAAACUGAUCUCCUAGUAAAAAAGCUAGAAUUUAACCAUAAGACCAGAAGACCCUGUGAAGCUUAAACUAAAAUAUUAAACCACAUAAUAAAUACUUUCGGUUGGGGCGACCUUGGAAAAAAACACAACUUCCAAUAAUACGACCUCCCUCGUACUACAAUACCAGGCUUACAAGCCAACUAAUGACCCAGCAAAGCUGACAAUCGAACCAAGUUACUCCAGGGAUAACAGCGCAAUCCUCUUCAAGAGCCCAUAUCAAAAAGAGGGUUUACGACCUCGAUGUUGGAUCGAGACAUCCUAAUGGUGCAGACGCUAUUAAGGGUUCGUUUGUUCAACGAUUAA